rnacentral:tRNA from 1 species
UCUAAGAUGACAGACAGAUGUAUAGGAUUUAAACUCCUACUAGGAAGAACUACUCUUCUUUUAGAA